CUUUCACUUCCGCGGGGAAGGGGUGGUGCUGAAGGGGGGGGGGGGAACCCGGAGCGGUGCCCCGGGGCAUCAUGGGAAAUGUAGUUUUUCUCGUUUUGGCUCCACCUGCCCUGCGCGCCUAUUGGCCCAGUAAGCUAAAAAUCGAGGCUGGUGAAACAACUUUUUUCUCUUCUCCAGCUCACAGAUACCCCCCGCCCCCUGCCAUUUCCAGACCACGAAAUCUCUUUACUCCCUAAUAUAGAAGGCUCAGCAACCUCUUCUUUGCUGUUUCUCUCCGGGGGCUCAUUCAGCCCCAUGGUUCUACUUCUGAAAUGAAUUCUUUCAACAGGCACUUCAGGCGGCUGCUAUGUGACAGGCCCGAAGCUGGGCACAGAAGAUAAAAAGAUGAGUAUUGUAGACUGCAGGAGAGACAGACAAGUAAACCGAAAUCACGCACAGUGCUGUGUGAUACCAGCAGAAGCCUAAUUAAUCACAGGGAGCACUUAGGAGGGGACCUAGGCCCGAAGGAAUCUGGAAAGGUUUCCUGGAAAAGGUUUGGAGGCCAGAAGUCCCACGCAGGUCUCUCACUGGACUAAGCAAGAAAAUAAGUUUGCAAAUGGUUGUCUUCUAAAGAGAAGAUUAAAGAGUUUGCAGCCAAAACAUCUAUGGAAAAAUUUAAUAUAGAGAAUGUCCCCAAAUAUAUGUGAGCUUCAAGCGCAUUAAAACCUAGUCAUCAUUCAUUUAUUUAACAAAUAUUGGUAGAUCACCUGCUAUGAUCAGGCACUGUGUGGUGCUGAGAACACAAGCAAUGAGCAAUCAGAUACCGACUGCUUCAUUGAAUUCCUACCUAGAGUUUCUUAGAGUCUCUCCUGAAGAGUUGCAUCAAUUUCUGGCCCACACCUGCCAAACUGGAAAUGCUUAAACUUAGUUUUGGUGCAGAAGAGAAAACAGAUGUUUUGGCCAUCUUCCGGGAGAAGUUUUUCUUCUCACUCAGGAAGACGACUGAGUGAAGAUAGAAACUCAGGGAGAAUGCCAAGAAGAGAAUGUGAACACAGAAGACUGGAGUGAUGCAUCUAUAAGCCAAGACAUGCCAAAGAGUCUGACAAGCCACCAGAAGCCAGGGGGAAGCAAAGAAGGUUCUACUACAGGUUUCUGAGGGCAGAUGGCCGGGUGUUGGGUUCACUAGAUUCCAGAACUACGAGACAAUACAUUUUGGUUGUUUUAAGCCACCUUAUGUGUAGUACUUUGUUAUGGGAGCCCUGCAAAAUGAAUACGUCGUCUGUCUUCUGCAAUUGAGUUGUAAUAGAAUAGUAAGAGGCAUUUUAUAUUCUUAUUUUGAGUAUGUACAUAUCCUUUCUUUUUCAAAUAUGCUAAGAAAACAAAAGGUGAUAAAUUUACUUUUUAUUUUUAAUGUUCAGAGGUGGCAAAAUGAGUCCCAGCAAGUAAAAACCAAAUGAAGACAAAGGUAAAUACAUGUGUUAUUUAAUCCAAGAAAAUAAAGAGCAUUCGCUGCACAGCGUGGUUUCUUGCCAGAGCAGUUGCUGGGAAAACAGUUGUAAGCACAUUAAAAAUGACAUUUACAGAAUCAGCUAUCAAGUUAUUUGUGGAAUACAUUUAAAAUGAAAUUUUCAUUCCCAACUCUAAUAUUAAAGAACAUUCUUAGUAUUAUUUACAGUAUUUAUUAUGCGAAGUAGAAGGAGGAUAUCAGAUUCACAAAUACACUGCCAAUUUGGGAGUUACUCGCUGAAAAGUCUAAGAGGUGUCUCUGAAGGACUGCUUGCUUCAAAUACAAGGAGAAUAUUGGAGAUUCAUAGAGGUUUCUAUAGCCUCACACUUCACCAGAAUCAUUUUUGAAGUUAAAAUAAUUCUUUCAUCCCAUCA